CCAGGAAUCUUGGGCAAUGGGCGAAAGCCUGACCCAGCAACACCGCGUGGGCGAUGAAGGCUCUAGGGUCGUAAAGCCCUGUUGAUAGGGACGAAGGGCGAAGGGUUAAUAGCCCCUAGCUUGACGGUACCUUUCGAGGAAGCCCCGGCUAACUACGUGCCAGCAGCCGCGGUAAUACGUAGGGGGCGAGCGUUGUCCGGAAUUAUUGGGCGUAAAGAGCGUGUAGGCGGUUCGGUAAGUCUGCUGUGAAAUCUUGGGGCUCAACCCUGAGCGUGCAGCGGAUACUGCCGGGCUAGAGGGUGGUAGAGGCGAGUGGAAUUCCGAGUGUAGCGGUGAAAUGCGCAGAUAUUCGGAGGAACACCAGUAGCGAAGGCGGCUCGCUGGGCCACACCUGACGCUGAGACGCGAAAGCGUGGGGAGCGAACAGG
rnacentral:rRNA from 1 species